rnacentral:tRNA from 1 species
GUCCCCGUAGCUCAGUUGGAUAGAGCGACUGCCUCCUAAGCAGUAGGUCGCAGGUUCGAUUCCUGCCGGGGACG